AACGAACGCUGGCGGCAGGCUUAACACAUGCAAGUCGAGCGCCCCGCAAGGGGAGCGGCAGACGGGUGAGUAACGCGUGGGAAUCUACCCAUCUCUACGGAAUAACGCAUGGAAACGUGUGCUAAUACCGUAUACGUCCUUCGGGAGAAAGAUUUAUCGGAGAUGGAUGAGCCCGCGUUGGAUUAGCUAGUUGGUGUGGUAAAGGCCUACCAAGGCGACGAUCCAUAGCUGGUCUGAGAGGAUGAUCAGCCACACUGGGACUGAGACACGGCCCAGACUCCUACGGGAGGCAGCAGUGGGGAAUACUGGACAAUGGGCGCAAGCCUGAUCCAGCCAUGCCGCGUGAGUGAUGAGGGCCCUAGGGUUGUAAAGCUCUUUCACCGGUGAAGAUAAUGACGGUAACCGGAGAAGAAGCCCCGGCUAACUUCGUGCCAGCCGCCGCAGUAAGAC
rnacentral:rRNA from 1 species